rnacentral:rRNA from 1 species
GACGUAGGUGGCGAACGUUAUCCGGGAUUAUUGGGCGUAAAGGAUGCGUAGAUGGUGUAGUAAGUUAUCGGUGGUAAAUCGAGGCUCAACCUCGUGGAAGUCGGUAAUACUGCUAUGCUAGAGGAUAGGAGAGGUUAACGGAACUCCCUGUGGAGCGGUGAAAUGCGUAGAUAUAGGGAAGAACACCAAUCAGGCGAAGGCAGUUAACUAUUCUAUUCCUGACAUUGAGGCAUGAAAGCGUGGGGAGCAAAACGG